rnacentral:rRNA from 1 species
UGGGGAAUAUUGCACAAUGGACGCAAGUCUGAUGCAGCGACGCCGUGUGAGGGAUGACGGCCUUCGGGUUGUAAACCUCUUUCGCCAAGGACGAAGGGGCUUAGGCUUUGACGGUACUUGGAGAAGAAGCGCCGGCCAACUACGUGCCAGCAGCCGCGGUAAGACGUAGGGCGCGAGCGUUGUCCGGAUUUAUUGGGCGUAAAGAGCUCGUAGGCGGCUCAUUGCGUCAACCGUGAAAACCUGCCGCUCAACGGUAGGCUUGCGGUUGAUACGGGUGGGCUGGAGUUCGGUAGGGGAGACUGGAAUUCCUGGUGUAGCGGUGAAAUGCGCAGAUAUCAGGAGGAACACCGGUGGCGAAGGCGGGUCUCUGGGCCGAUACUGACGCUGAGGAGCGAAAGCGUGGGGAGCGAACAG